GGCCUGUAACAAUACAGGCAACCGGCGAACGGGUGCGUAACACGUGAGCAACCUACCGAACUGUGGGGGAUAGCCGGCCUAACGGCCGAGUAAUACCGCAUACGCUUUCGAUGAGGCAUUUCAUUGAAAGGAAACCUACGGGACAGAUCGAGGGGCUCGCGGCCUAUCAGCUAGUUGGCGAGGUAACGGCUCACCAAGGCGACGACGGGUAGCUGGUCUGAGAGGAUGGCCAGCCACAUUGGGACUGAGAUACGGCCCAGACUCCUACGGGAGGCAGCAGUGGGGAAUCUUGCGCAAUGGCCUAACGGCUGACGCAGCGACGCCGCGUGUGGGAUGAAGCUCCUCGGAGUGUAAACCACUGUUGCCCGGGACGAAUAGCUCGAUUAAUCGAGCCUGACGGUACCGGGUGAGGAAGCACCGGCUAACUCCGUGCCAGCAGCCGCGGUAAUACGGGGGGUGCGAGCGUUGUCCGGAAUCACUGGGCGUAAAGGGCGCGUAGGUGGUUUGAUAGGG
rnacentral:rRNA from 1 species